rnacentral:rRNA from 1 species
AUUGAACGCUGGCGGCAGGCCUAACACAUGCAAGUCGAACGAGUGGCGGACGGGUGAGUAAUGUCUGGGAAACUGCCUGAUGGAGGGGGAUAACUACUGGAAACGGUAGCUAAUACCGCAUACCAUCAGAUGUGCCCAGAUGGGCUUAGCUUGUUGGUGGGGUAACGGCUCACCAAGGCGCCGAUCCCUAGCUGGGCUGAGAGGAUGACCAGCCACACUGGAACUGAGACACGGUAUAGACGCCUACGGGAGGCAGCAGUGGGGAAUAUUGCACAAUGGGCGCAAGCCUGAUGCAGCCAUGCCGCGUGUCUGAAGAGGGCCUUCGGGUUGUAAAGUACUUUAAGCGGGGAGGCGUUACCCGCAGAAGAAGCACCGGCUAACUCCGUGCCAGCAGCCGCGGUAAUUC